UACGUAGGGACCAAGCGUUGUUCGGAUUUACUGGGCGUAAAGGGCGCGUAGGCGGCUUAACAAGUCACUUGUGAAAUCUCCGGGCUUAACUCGGAACGGCCAAGUGAAACUGUCAAGCUAGAGUGCAGAAGGGGCAAUCGGAAUUCUUGGUGUAGCGUGAAAUGCGUAGAUAUCAAGAGGAACACCUGAGGUGAAGACGGGUUGCUGGGCUGACACUGACGCUGAGGCGCGAAAGCCAGGGAGCAAACGGG
rnacentral:rRNA from 1 species